GACGUAGGGGACGAGCGUUGUCCGGAUUUAUUGGGCGUAAAGAGCGUGUAGGCGGCCAGGUAGGUCUGGUGUGAAAACUCGAGGCUUAACCUCGAGAUGUCAUCGGAAACCAUCUGGCUAGAGUCCGGAAGAGGAGAGUGGAAUUCCUGGUGUAGCGGUGAAAUGCGCAGAUAUCAGGAAGAACACCAAUGGCGAAAGCAGCUCUCUGGGACGGUACUGACGCUGAGACGCGAAAGCGUGGGGAGCGAACAGG
rnacentral:rRNA from 1 species